rnacentral:rRNA from 1 species
AUUGAACGCUGGCGGCAGGCCUAACACAUGCAAGUCGAACGGUAACAGGGAUCAGCUUGCUGAUUCGCUGACGAGUGGCGGACGGGUGAGUAAUGUCUGGGAAACUGCCUGAUGGAGGGGGAUAACUACUGGAAACGGUAGCUAAUACCGCAUAACGUCGCAAGACCAAAGAGGGGGACCUUCGGGCCUCUUGCCAUCGGAUGUGCCCAGAUGGGAUUAGCUAGUAGGUGGGGUAACGGCUCACCUAGGCGACGAUCCCUAGCUGGUCUGAGAGGAUGACCAGCCACACUGGAACUGAGACACGGUCCAGACGCCUACGGGAGGCAGCAGUGGGGAAUAUUGCACAAUGGGCGCAAACCUGAUGCAGCCAUGCCGCGUGUAUGAAGAAGGCCUUCGGGUUGUAAAGUACUUUCAGCGGGGAGGAAGGGAGUAAAGUUAAUACCUUGGCUCAUUGACGUUACCCGCAGAAGAAGCACCGGCUAACUCCGUG